GUUUUCAAGAUGCCAUGUUAUAGUACCAAACCUCUUAUGCAACACUUCCUCCAUGCAAUGUCCAAGUCCAUUCACAAGCAUUACCAAAUUCCUACCUCAUCUCCCUUGUCACACUCCGAACUUUCACCUUAAAACUAAUGUGCUAACAGCCCUUUCACCUGCUGACACAGCAGCUUUAACCUCUGAUUCUACCAGGAGUUGAAAUAUGAUAAUUCUAACUAUAUAUUCACC